GCAGGAAAGGCUAGUCUAGUGGUUAGUGGGUGUUUGACUCCUAGCUGAAAUGUUCUGGGUUCAAUCCCUAGUCUCUGCA